AUUGAACGCUGGCGGCAGGCCUAACACAUGCAAGUCGAACGGUAACAGGAAACAGCUUGCUGUUUCGCUGACGAGUGGCGGACGGGUGAGUAAUGUCUGGGAAACUGCCUGAGGGAGGGGGAUAACUACUGGAGACGGUAGCUAAUACCGCAUAACGUCGCAAAACCAAAGAGGGGGACCUUCGGGCCUCUUGCCACCGGAUGUUCUCAGAUGGGAUUAGCUAGUAGGUGGGGUAACGGCUCACCUAGGCGACGAUCCCUAGCUGGUCUGAGAGGAUGACCAGCCACACUGGAACUGAGACACGGUCCAGACUCCUACGGGAGGCAGCAGUGGGGAAUAUUGCACAAUGGGCGCAAGCCUGAUGCAGCCAUGCCGCGUGUAUGAAGAAGGCCUUCGGGUUGUAAAGUACUUUCAGCGGGGAGGAAGGGAGUAAAGUUAAUACCUUUGCUCAUUGACGUUACCCGCAGAAGAAGCACCGGCUAACUCCGUGCCAGCAGCCGCGGUAA
rnacentral:rRNA from 1 species